rnacentral:tRNA from 1 species
AAGGGAGACCUAAUUCAGGUAGGAGACGAAAAAAAAGUAGUCCCAACCAAGAAUCAAUCCCAAAAGGUCGGAGCGAGGCGAAAUUGGCUUUCAAACUAGGUUCUGGGUUCACACAAGACCUGAAUCAGGAACAAGGGCUAUUAGCUCAGGUGGUUAGAGCGCACCCCUGAUAAGGGUGAGGUCCCUGGUUCGAGUCCAGGAUGGCCCACCUGCACAGGUGGCAAAAACAAGAGAAGCGAGGAAUCAGCACCUUAUCUUAUCUAUAUAUAAGAGAGAAUGCUGGCUCUGAGUAAAGAGUCCAGAGGAACCUUGAAAACUGCAUAGAGCUAGGUGAAAAAGCCAAAAAAGAAGACCGCAA